GAGGAAGGUGGGGAUGACGUCAAGUCCUCAUGGCCUUUAUGUCCAGGGCUACACACGUGCUACAAUGGCCGGUACAAACCGCUGCAAACCCGCGAGGGUGAGCCAAUCGGAGAAAGCCGGCCUCAGUUCGGAUUGCAGUCUGCAACUCGACUGCAUGAAGCUGGAACCGCUAGUAAUCGCGGAUCAGCAUGCCGCGGUGAAUACGUUCCCGGGCCUUGUACACACCGCCCGUCACAUCACGAAAGUGGGUUGUACUAGAAGCAGGUGAGCUAACCGCAAGGAAGCAGCCUUCCAAGGUGUGAUUCAUGAUUGGGGUGAAGUCGUAACAAGGUAGCCGUAA
rnacentral:rRNA from 1 species